rnacentral:rRNA from 1 species
CAUGGCUCAGAACGAACGCUGGCGGCAUGCCUAACACAUGCAAGUCGAACGAGACCUUCGGGUCUAGUGGCGCACGGGUGCGUAACGCGUGGGAAUCUGCCCUUCGGUUCGGAACAACAGUUAGAAAUGACUGCUAAUACCGGAUAAUGACGUAAGUCCAAAGAUUUAUCGCCGAAGGAUGAGCCCGCGUAAGAUUAGGUAGUUGGUGGGGUAAUGGCCUACCAAGCCGACGAUCUUUAGCUGGUCUGAGAGGAUGAUCAGCCACACUGGGACUGAGACACGGCCCAGACUCCUACGGGAGGCAGCAGUGGGGAAUAUUGGACAAUGGGCGAAAGCCUGAUCCAGCAAUGCCGCGUGAGUGAUGAAGGCCUUAGGGUUGUAAAGCUCUUUACCAGGGAUGAUAAUGACAGUACCUGGAGAAUAAGCUCCGGCUAACUCCGUG